AGGACUACAGUGUUUUUCAUCAUAGACCAGAUGACAGACUAUGUGGAUUCUUGACAGUAAAAGAUUACUUUUAUUAUAAACUGUUUUUUAAGC